CCGUUAGUAGCAGCCGCUUCGACUUUCCAGUGCCGCCAGAGAUGUAAUGUUAGUACUAAUCAUCAUUUCUUGGAAAUCCAAAGCGCGUACUCGGGUCCAUGCAGUGCUUGCUAUUGUGGUGAACACCUUGACGGAACUCUAUGGUGCACACUGUGGUUGGACUUUUCUUUUCCUUUGGUCGCCAUACAUCUUCAAAAUUUCAGCCCUGCCAAGCGGAAUGGGCCGUAACAAUAGCUGGACGUUCUGGGCGACGACGGGAUGAUGCGGUACGGGCGGGUAGUGGACGUGUCCGGCGACGGUCUCUUCAUCGAUCUGCUCUGUCCCAACCGGCGACGUGAAUACGUUCCGUACCACAGUGUCUUCCGGCUGAAUAAGAUCAGCAAGUGCGACCUGCCUCGAGAUCGCAACAGUUCCCGUUCGGUUCUUUCCGUGGAAGUCCUGCCACCUGAGACGCCGUUGGGUCGUGGAUUUGGUUGCCGGGUGAAUCAGACAGUUUCUUAUGUGAAAAUUCGCCCCACCAGCACAUUGGGGCGGUAGCGCACUGGCGACGAAAGGACAACGGAGAGCCGUGCACAGAGUUCCUUCCCAUCGAACGCAUCCGCUGGCCAGUUCGUCCAGGAACCUUCGUAAAGCGAACUGAACAGCUGGACGAUAAAUUUAGCUCGAUGUCCGCAAAAGAAGCCGAGGCGCUCAUAAAGAGAAUAAAUCGCCGGAUACUCUCUUUCUUGUGUUCUGGCAACAGCGACAACCCAUUCUAUCAUGUUGACGUAGUGAACCUCGUAGAUGGGCAGUUGGGGUACAUGUCUCAAGUGGGAGCGGCAGAGAGUUAUCGAGUAAGAAUCUUCUCGUCGUUCAGUUUCUGAAUCUGCUCGCCAUUCGGUACCGGCAGCGCUGCUUCCAUUGCGUCCCAAAAUGCACAGGAAAAUUAACACUUUGGCAUCCGCGUUUAACGGACUUCGACACAGACGUAAGCGUGGUUCAAAGGAAAACGGCAGUUGCUCAUGACGAUGGUAUCACACGGAAGACCGCCACACUGCCAUAAUUAUAAAAUUCUGCAACGGUAGCGUAUAGGACUGUUCUUCGGAGGGCCUUCGACAAUUUCAUCUGCGGUCGGGUAAGCUCAGUAACGACAGCAUCAUUAACGCGGUUAUCAAACUCUAGGCAAAUUUUCCACUGCCGGAAGAGCAGACUCUUUAGUCGAAUCCCGUUUGCUGGUCCGCCACGAAGCGGACCAUGUCGCACACUGCCAUUAUGUCGUGCCCCUCCAUCCACCCGUUUCCCACGUCCAUCACAGUGUGUUGUGUGCCAGGGCGCAAGCAAUUUGUACACCGCCGCCCAGCAUAAGAAUGCCCGGUAUCCAUGCUUUAUGUCGUCCCACAACGCGUCUCCGACGAGGAUACAGCCACGCAGAGCCGGUGUAUCCAUCAUCGCGUUCCACACUGCGCAUACCGCGAGCAGUUUCGUCUGCGUCACCGUGUCCAAGUGCACGAACACUUCUAGCCACAAUUCCACCGGCAGUGCCAUCUCUUCACCGAUAUACUGAAUGCGACGCAGUCGAUUGAUCCGCGUCCGUCGGCGCAUUAUCGCGGGAAGGAGUGGUGCAUGGACGGUCUUCAGGAUUUGCAGCUGGAGAAACUGUCGCGCAUUUCCAUUUGUUUUCUCGUUGCACUGCAAAGUCCGAAGGAAUUUUGUUUUGUUCAACCAUCUGACCACUGAUACACCGGAGACUUGGCAUGGAACGCUUAUCCUUGCUGCGUGUCAUGGCGCUUAAUCCGGACAAUUAUCAUGGCCAUCAUUAGCAUUGGCGUCACAACUUGUGUGCAUGACUUAAACCGCAUUAUCAACGCUAACCAACCGCUGGAUCUGUACCUGGCCCGCUUGUUUUGUUUAUUGACACUUGUGUCACAAGUUGUAAGACCAUAUUACAAUUCUACAUGUCCACAGUAUUUCAACAUUUUCAGAAAUGUGGAACUGAAGCACAGUAUAUAUAUGGUAUAACAGUAUCAUGACACUAGG